rnacentral:lncRNA from 1 species
UGUGCACCGAAUUCUCUUGCAGAUUGUAGCUGGAAAGUAGUUUGAACAUAAGAGAAUUCACUGAGCAAAUUGCAGAAUUGCGGCCAGAAAACGCGCCUACACAAAACGCGGUUACAAGUCACGUUUUGUGUACUCGCGUAUUCACUUUGGCCUUACUUCAUCUGCGAUUUUCUCUAUCAUAAAGGCCGAACUGGCUUUUGUGUAAAACACAAAAGUUGUAGCCCUUUGAGUUAGCUUUCCAAUGCUUCAAGAAUC